rnacentral:rRNA from 1 species
GACGAACGCUGGCGGCGUGCCUAAUACAUGCAAGUCGAACGCUUCUUUCCUCCCGAGUGCUUGCACUCAAUUGGAAAGAGGAGGGGCGGACGGGGGAGUAACACGUGGGUAACCUACCCAUCAGAGGGGGAUAACACUUGGAAACAGGUGCUAAUACCGCAUAACAGUUUAUGCCGCAUGGCAUAAGAGUGAAAGGCGCUUUCGGGUGUCGCUGAUGGAUGGACCCGCGGUGCAUUAGCUAGUUGGUGAGGUAACGGCUCACCAAGGCCACGAUGCAUAGCCGACCUGAGAGGGUGAUCGGCCACACUGGGACUGAGACACGGCCCAGACUCCUACGGGAGGCAGCAGUAGGGAAUCUUCGGCAAUGGACGAAAGUCUGACCGAGCAACGCCGCGUGAGUGAAGAAGGUUUUCGGAUCGUAAAACUCUGUUGUUAGAGAAGAACAAGGACGUUAGUAACUGAACGUCCCCUGACGGUAUCUAACCAGAAAGCCACGGCUAACUACGUG